rnacentral:tRNA from 1 species
UCCCCUGUAGCUCAGUUGGUAGAGCACUAGCUUCCAAAUUUUGGCGAAUGAGAGUGGACUGCAGACACUUAAUUUCACAUGCUGAAAGAUGGAUUGUGGCUGGGUGUCGGUGGUUCGAGUCCACUCAGGGGCA